UGCGUAGGCGGUUACUUAAGUAGGGUGUGAAAUGUCCCGGCUCAACCGGGGAAUGGCGCUCUAAACUGGGUGGCUUGAGUGAGAUAGAGGUGUGCGGAACUUCCGGUGGAGCGGUGAAAUGUGUUGAUAUCGGAGGGAACACCAUUGGCGAAAGCGGCACACUGGGUCUCAACUGACGCUGAGGCACGAAAGCCAGGGGAGGCAAACG
rnacentral:rRNA from 1 species